AGAAGAUGGGUAUGGUUGGAGACAGGGAUGAGGCAGAGCAUGGGAUGGGGCCAUCAACAAAAUUUCCAAUUUCUGUCCUCCGCUAGGCCGCUACUGCAUUUCUGUUUGCUUGCUCACAAAACGGAGGGAUUUGUGAGAGUUAUCAGGCAGAAAGAACAAAGAAGGUGCCUCCCUGGUGAAGUGGUGAUGGCCUGACCUGAGAGGGCUGAGAGCUCAGCUGGUGUCCUGGUGUUGUUGCUUCCUCCCCUGCACUGCCUCUUCCCUGGCUCCCCACCGUUGCCCUUGC
rnacentral:pre_miRNA from 1 species